rnacentral:snRNA from 1 species
AUAGAUUAUCUAGUGUUCAUUUAAACUAAAAUUGAAACAAAACAGAGAUUAGCAUGCACAAGCAUGAUAUACAAAUUCAUGACGCACUCCAAACUUUU